rnacentral:tRNA from 1 species
UUCCUGUUGGCUCAGAUGGUAAAGAAUCUGCCUGCAAUGCAGGAAAUCCAGGUUCAACCCCUGGGUCGGGAA